AUGGAAGAUGUAGCUGAGGGCUAUGUUCAAGAGUUAGUGUCAUGCUCAUUUCUGCAACCAGAAGAAGAUGAUUACUCUAUCAAAUACAUUACAAUUCUUGAUCUGCUGCAUGAUUUAUUAGACAAGAUCGUUGGAAUGGAUUACUUGAGAAUCGAGAAUGGAAGGAGUCAGAUAGGGAAAGUUUGGAAAGGAGAUGUUCCCCGAGAUGCCCGCCACCUUUUUGUUCAAAAUUAUGAUGGAGAAUUGAUUACGAAGAAGAUCCUUGGAUUGGAAAAUUUAUGCACUUUAAUUAUUUAUGUGGUUGAAAAGGACACACCAGUUGAGGAAAAAGUCAUUGAGAGUAUAUGCAAUAGUCUGCCGCAAUUGCGGGUACUGGCUGUUGCUUUCAGCCGGGAACAUCUUCCAAUCACACAACCCACUCUUGAAAGCAAUCUUGCUGCCAAGAAACGGCUCAAGGAACUGACCAUAAGAUGGACCCAUGGUUCUGCAAGGUGGUGCAGUCCAGAAGUUGAAGCAGAGGUACUUGAGGGCCUGUGCCCACCUGUGGAUCUUGAAACACUGAUGAUCGAGGGCUACAAAGGUUCGAGGUACCCAGAUUGGAUAGUGGAUCAGCAGAACAGUGGCCCAAAGGACCUGCAAAGUCUGCGGUUACAAUGUUGGAGUCAACUGGGACUUGGUCCUGUACUUGAGGCUUUCCCUCAUCUUCGUCAGCUAGAGCUUAUGGGCUGCAGCUGGGACACCUUACCAGGCAAUAUGGAACACCUCACAUCGCUCAAGGAUCUGACUAUAUCUACUUGUUUGAAUAUCCGUUUGCUUCCUACAUUGCCUAGUCUUGUUGAACAGUCAGGCAUCCAAAUUGUCAAAAGCUGGAGCAGGUUCAUCGAAAGGAAAUUAUACGCAUGGCAUGACAGGAAGGCAGUGGAGGAGCCUCGACCUCGACGGCGAGUAGCUGCCGUGUUGAUGGUUGUCAACGACGCCACGGGAGAGCCUUCUCCUCCUCCACCGUGCCAGACUGGACCAACGGGGAGACCCAUGUCUACGCACUGGCCCACCUGCAUGGCUAGCUGCGGCAACAUGGCACCAUCACACGGCGCGUUCGUAGGGACCAGACGAGCGGCACCAGCUACGGCGCGCUUCAGCACCUGCACUAGCAGGAACACCACCACCGCCGAUGCCGCCGCCGCUCACGGCGCCUAG
rnacentral:rRNA from 1 species